rnacentral:rRNA from 1 species
CCCCUAGAUGUUCUGUGCCGCACGCGCGCUACACUGAACAGUUCAACAAGUCUUAACCUUGGCCGAUAGGUCUGGGUAAUCUUUGAACGCUGUUCGUGAUUGGGAUAGACCUUUGCAAUUAUGGGUCUUCAACGAGGAAUUCCUAGUAAACGCAAGUCAUCAGCUUGCAUUGAUUACGUCCCUGCCCUUUGUACACACCGCCCGUCGCACCUACCGAUUGAAUGGUCCGGUGAAAUCUCGGGACGGCGGCUUGGUCGCUUGCGUCCGACUGCUGAAACUUGAUUAAACCAUAUCAUUUAGAGGAAGGUGAAGUCGUAACA